CUGGGUCGCGCUAGGUCCCUAGGUCACGCACUCGCGCUAGCUCCUGUUUGCCUGUUCCUGCUCGCGCUCGAUGGCGCCGCCGCCGCCGCUCCGUGUCCCGCUCACUGCUACGCCCGCGCUCGGUGACCCUCGCUCAGAGCUCGCUGCUACACCCGCUCGCUGCUACGCCGCCGCCGCCAUACGCGUACGCCUAUACUGAGGUAGGUCAGUAGGGUUUGGUCGUUUGGAGCGGCACGCCAAUGAGCAGCGGGCGAGUUCCCAUUCCCCAGCUCCCCCAACCCGACGCAAUCUAUUUCCCGGCUUCAAGGAAUCAAGUUUAGGAUCACGUCUGUUGCUUGCUGGACUGGUGCUCGUUCAUUGUUUGCCUGUUUGGACUUUGGAGUAGUGUUUGUUCAUUAUUUGGUCCGAGAUUGAGAGGCUGUCAAACUGACAAUGGCUGUCAAUCCAUUAGUGCUAAGGUCUGGAAGUGGGAGUGUAUGUGCAAGCACAGGAGCAUCUCCUGCUGCUAUAUCACCCAUUGGCACUAAUCAGUCUGCACCUAGAACACAACAACUUGUCGGUGCUAUGGUUAUAAAAGGUGGAAGUGUCGAAAAUGUUGUUAAUACUGAAGAAGCUCGAGAUGAGUCCAAUGGCACCAAGAAAUUAGGACGUGGUGAGAAGAGGAAAAAACAAACAAAAAGCCUACCUCCAAGGUUUGGGACCACUUCACCAAGUUCACGGUGAUGCAGAAGGGAGAUGAUGGGAAGAUGGAGGAACAAGUUUGGGCAAAAUGCAAGAAGUGCACGUUCAAAACUUGUUGUGAAUACUCGAGGGGCACAACCGCCUUCUGGAACCAUUUGAAACUAAAGCAUUAUAUAAAGAAAGGGCAGCAAGAAUUACAAGUCCAGAAUGGUGAAGGUGACAAUGUUGUUGAUCAAACUUGUUCAAACUUUCAAGUAUGAUCUUGAAGUUAGCCUAAAAAGGUUCUAUAAGGCCAUGAUUAUGCAUGAGUACCCAUUUAUGAUGGUUGAACAUGAAUUCUUUGUUGAUUUCAUCAAGUCUCUGCGUCCACACUUUUCAUUCAAGUGUCGUACAAGCACUAGGAAUGAAAUAAUGCUAAUACACUUGGAUGAAAAGAAAAAAAUGUUUGAGCACCUUAAGUCUCUUUCUUGUCGAUUUUCUGCAACUAUGGAUAUGUGGACAUCAAACCAGAAUAAAGGUUAUAUGUGCAUCAC